UCGGGAAUUUUGGGCAAUGGGCGAAAGCCUGACCCAGCAACGCCGCGUGAAGGAUGAAAUCCUUCGGGAUGUAAACUUCGCAAGAACGGGCAGAAUAAGUAAGAGCUAACAUCUCUUACGAUGACGGUACUGCUUGUAAGCUCCGGCUAACUCCGUGCCAGCAGCCGGGGUAAUACGGGGGGAGCAAGCGUUGGUCGGAUUUACUGGGCGUAAAGGGCGAGUAGGCGGCCACCGCAAGUCAGUUGUGAAAUCUCUGGGCUUAACCCAGAAAGGUCAACUGAUACUGCGGGGCUAGAGUGCAGAAGGGGCAACUGGAAUUCUCGGUGUAGCGGUGAAAUGCGUAGAUAUCGAGAGGAACACCUGCGGCGAAGGCGGGUUGCUGGGCUGACACUGACGCUGAGGCGCGAAAGCUAGGGGAGCGAA
rnacentral:rRNA from 1 species